AGAAGAGAAGAGAAGAGAAGAGAAGAGAAGAGAAGAGAAGAGGAGUAAAAGCCGGCCAUGGGCACAUGGAGAGAAAGAGGGAGGGGGAGAGAAGGGACAGAGGGGAAUCGAAUUAGAGAGCAAGAGAAGAACAAGAGAGAGAGGAGGGGGCAAGUAGCCCCUUUUAUAGUGAGUCAGUCACACCUAUCUGUUGCCAGGUAACUGUAGGACGAGCUUACUUAGACAGAAUGCUAACAACCUAGGCAACGGUGUCAUCAUAAUCCACAUGACAGGAAGGAGUGUUGUCCACAGUGAAGCUGGUGGGAGACUGAGGAUGUGUUGCCUGCUGCAUGACCUGCAAGUGAAGCUGUGGGCUUACAAGGCCUCAGUGACACCCACCAAGGGACUUGCCAUGAUGAGACUCGAUCCUGGGCAGACUGAGCAGAUGCUGGGUCCUGUGGAUGUGACAUGGAACGGAUGUCACCUUCAGUCUUCUGCAGCAUCCAAAGUCCUGCAAUAUUCCUGGAGCCAGUGACAUCCUGUGAAAACUCAUGGAAGUCUCUGGAAAGAAGAAGCUCAGAAUUUACCGAGUUUGUCAGUGACCACAUGAUCAAUUCCACCCCACAGAAUCUAAAGAAUAAGACCCUUGGCUUCAGCAAGGGACACGGGUAAAUCCCACACUGGUGUCCUGGGACAGUGAAGGCCAAGUGUUGUGGUACCGCAGCUGGGACUGGGCUUUCGAUCUAUCCCGGACUUAUUUAGCUUUAUAUAAGCCUUACCCUCUUUAUAUAAUCCUUGGACACCCAUGGAGGCAGCUUUGCCUUUGAGGGGUCAUAUGACAAUAUCUGGGAAUAUUUUUCUUACCUUUGGGUGUGUGACUACUGACAUCUCAACGUUAGGGCCCGGGGAUAUGAUGAACACCCUGCGACACACAGGACAAGCUCCAUCGUGCAAUGUGCUCUGACUCAAUGGCCAGUACUAAGAGACAGUUGGCUGUAAGCCCCAAAGAUUCAGCUUCUAGAUUUCCGAAAUAUUGUCAUAUUCCAAAUUCGUUCAUACAAGCUAAUCAUGCUAGCUCCCAUAUUUCAAUAAUUAUAUCUUAGAGACCAAAGUAGGACAUUUGAGAUAAUGCAUACAGAGAGGGUUGGGGGGAGGCAAUACAGAAUCAUUCACUUUCUGGGCGGCU
rnacentral:lncRNA from 1 species